rnacentral:lncRNA from 10 species
UUUUUUUCUUUACAACUUUAUCCAAAAUUUUAUCUUAUUACUUCUUGUACUUUCAAUAUUGUCCAUGCAUCGGUACCUAAUAGGGUUUUUUUCCCACUUAUUUUUGUCACAAUUAUUGUUGUCUCAUUUCAGUCCACAUUUCCCUACUGAGAAAAGUGUGCAGCUUUUCAUAUAGUUGUUGGCCAUUUAGAUUAGUUCCUUUAGAAUAUACUGCUCAUGUUUUUCCUGUUUUUUUGUUUUAUUUUGUUUGGAGACAGAGUCUUGCUCUAUUGCCCAGGCUGGUGUACUGUGGCGUGAUCUCAGCUCACUACAACCUGAACCUCCUGGGUUCAAGCGAUUCUUGUGCCUCAGCCUCCUGAGUAACUGGGAUUACAGGCAUGUGCCACCACAUCCUCAGUGCUGGGAUUACAGACAUGAGCCACUCAUGGUGGCGCACACCUGUAGUCCCAGCUACUCAGGAGGCUGAGGUGGGAGAAUCGCUUGAGCCCAGGAGGUGGAGGCCGCAGUGAGCCUUGAUUACGCCACUGCGCUCCAGCCUGGGCGACAGA